ensembl:rRNA 5S_rRNA 5S ribosomal RNA
UUCUAUGGCCAUGCCUCCCUGAACGUGCCUGAUCUCGUCUGAUCUCAGAAGCUAAGCAGGGUUGGGCCUGGUUAGUACUUGGAUGGGAGGCCACCUAGGAAAAUUAGGAGCUGUAGGCG